rnacentral:rRNA from 1 species
AGAGUUUGAUUAUGGCUCAGGACGAACGCUGGCGGCGUGCUUAACACAUGCAAGUCGAACGAGAAUCUAUGGAAAGAGGAUUCGUCCAAUUGAAAUAGAGGACAGUGGCGGACGGGUGAGUAACGCGUGAGGAACCUGCCUUUCAGAGGGGGACAACAGUUGGAAACGACUGCUAAUACCGCAUAACGCGUAGAGGUCGCAUGGCCUUUACGCCAAAGAUUUAUCGCUGAAAGAUGGCCUCGCGUCUGAUUAGCUAGUUGGUGAGGUAACGGCCCACCAAGGCGACGAUCAGUAGCCGGACUGAGAGGUUGAACGGCCACAUUGGGACUGAGAUACGGCCCAG